UGAACGCUGGCGGCGUGCUUAAUACAUGCAAGUCGAACGAAGCACCUGCGACGGAUCCCUUCGGGGUGAAGAUGCUUGUGACUGAGUGGCGGACGGGUGAGUAACGCGUGGGUAACCUGCCUUAUGCAGGGGGACAACAGUUGGAAACGACUGCUAAUACCGCAUAAGCGCACGGCACCGCAUGGUGCAGUGUGAAAAAGAUUUAUCGGCAUAAGAUGGACCCGCGUCUGAUUAGGUAGUUGGUGAGGUAACGGCCCACCAAGCCGACGAUCAGUAGCCGACUUGAGAGAGUGAUCGGCCACAUUGGGACUGAGACACGGCCCAGACUCCUACGGGAGGCAGCAGUAGGGAAUAUUGCACAAUGGGGGAAACCCUGAUGCCAGCGACGCCGCGUGAGUGAUGAAGUAUUUCGGUACGUAAAGCUCUAUCAGCAGGGAAGAUAAUGACGGUACCUGACUAAGAAGCCCCGGCUAACUACGUGCCAGCCGCGGC
rnacentral:rRNA from 1 species